rnacentral:rRNA from 1 species
GACGAACGCUGGCGGCGUGCUUAACACAUGCAAGUCGAACGGAAAGGCCCUGCUUUUGUGGGGUGCUCGAGUGGCGAACGGGUGAGUAACACGUGAGUAACCUGUCCUUGAUUUUGGGAUAACUUCAGGAAACUGGGGCUAAUACCGGAUAGGAGCUCCUGCUGCAUGGUGGGGGUUGGAAAGUUUCGGCGGUUGGGGAUGGACUCGCGGCUUAUCAGCUUGUUGGUGGGGUAGUGGCUUACCAAGGCUUUGACGGGUAGCCGGCCUGAGAGGGUGACCGGCCACAUUGGGACUGAGAUACGGCCCAGACUCCUACGGGAGGCAGCAGUGGGGAAUAUUGCACAAUGGGCGGAAGCCUGAUGCAGCAACGCCGCGUGCGGGAUGACGGCCUUCGGGUUGUAAACCGCUUUCGCCUGUGACGAAGCGUGAGUGACGGUAAUGGGUAAAGAAGCACCGGCUAACUACGUG